rnacentral:rRNA from 1 species
GAUGAACGCUGGCGGCGUGCCUAAUACAUGCAAGUCGAGCGAACGGACGAGAAGCUUGCUUCUCUGAUGUUAGCGGCGGACGGGUGAGUAACACGUGGAUAACCUACCUAUAAGACUGGGAUAACUUCGGGAAACCGGAGCUAAUACCGGAUAAUAUUUUGAACCGCAUGGUUCAAAAGUGAAAGACGGUCUUGCUGUCACUUAUAGAUGGAUCCGCGCUGCAUUAGCUAGUUGGUAAGGUAACGGCUUACCAAGGCAACGAUGCAUAGGCGACCUGAGAGGGUGAUCGCCCACACUGGAACUGAACCACGGUCCAGACUCCUGCGGGAGGGCGCAGUAGGGAAUCUUCCGCAAUGGGCGAAAGCCUGACGGAGCAACGCCGCGUGAGUGAUGAAGGUCUCCGGAUCGUAAAACUCUGUUAUUAGGGAAGAACAUAUGUGUAAGUAACUGUGCACAUCUUGACGGUACCUAAUCAGAAAGCAACGGCUAACUACGUG